rnacentral:rRNA from 1 species
UUCCGGUUGAUCCCGCCGGACCCGACUGCUAUUUGGGUGAGGAUAAGCCAUGCGAGUUGAAUGGGAUACCCAAAGUUCCCAUGGCAAACUGCUCAGUAACACAUGAUCAACUUACCCUAUAGAGGAAAAUAACCUCGGGAAACUGAGGAUAAUAUUCCAUAGUUGAAUCGGCUUGGAAAAGUUUUUCAAUAAAAGGGAUAAGGAAAAUGGUUCUUAUCUGCUAUAGGAUAGGAUCGUGUUCGAUUAUGGUUGUUGGUGAGGUAAAGGCUCACCAAGCCGAUAAUCGAUAGGGGCCGUGAGAGCGGGAGCCCCGAGAUGGGUACUGAGACAACGACCCAGGCCUUACGAGGCGCAGCAGGCGCGAAACCUCCGCAAUACACGAAAGUGUGGCGGGGUUACCCAAAGUGUUCUAUUUAGAACUGUGGUAGGUGAGUAAUGUCCCCUACUAGAAAGGAGAGGGCAAGGCUGGUGCCAGCCGCCGCGGUAAAACCAGCUCUUCAAGUGGUCGGGAUAAUUAUUGGGCUUAAAGUGUCCGUAGCCGGUUUAGUAAGUUCCUGGUAAAAUCGGGUAGCUUAACUAUCUAUAUGCUAGGAAUACUGCUAUACUAGAGGGCGGGAGAGGUCUGAGGUACUACAGGGGUAGGGGUGAAAUCUUAUAAUCCUUGUAGGACCACCAGUGGCGAAGGCGUCAGACUGGAACGCGCCUGACGGUGAGGGACGAAAGCCAGGGGAGCGAACCGGAUUAGAUACCCGGGUAGUCCUGGCCGUAAACGAUGCAUACUAGGUGAUGGCACGGCCAUGAGCCGUGUCAGUGCCGUAGGGAAACCGUUAAGUGUGCCGCCUGGGAAGUACGGUCGCAAGGCUAAAACUUAAAGGAAUUGGCGGGGGAGCACCACAAGGGGUGAAGCCUGCGGUUCAAUUGGAUUCAACGCCGGAA